rnacentral:tRNA from 1 species
GGGACUUUAGCUCAAUUGGUUAGAGCAGCGGACUCAUAACCCGCGGGUUCCGGGUUCAAGUCCCGGAGGUCCCACGA